rnacentral:misc_RNA from 1 species
UGAUGACCCCUUGGAAUUUGCCAUGACCAAAGGAGAACCAGUUCCUUUUGUGGAUUAAGGAAUUGAGAUCUCGAAAUAAAAUUGUAAAAGAAUCGAGAUGACACUUUCUGCUCUCUCUCUCUUUCUUAGGUUAACGAAAGCGAAGCCCCUUCUCCGUCUGUGUUUCUUUCUCUCUCUGCUCGUUGAAGACUUGGGGUUGAAAAAG